GGAAUUUCGCAUUAUCAAUAUUCAAGAAUUUCAAGGAAUUAAGGGCCAAGAAGCCGAAAACUCACAACGAAACGAUGGUAUUCUUCGAGUUCAAGGCUUCAGGGACGAAUCGGGACGAUGUUUCUGACCUGUUGAAUCGUUGAUGAUGGGAAUCGCAGGGAAGAGGACGCUCAACUCAAUUGCCGACGUUUGGACUUUCAUGAUGGUUGACUCGUGCUUUCAGACUCAUAUGAAUAUGUAGGUGAUCAAAUAGUUCAAUCACCAUUCAACACCAAUAUCAUCUCUCAACAACUUUUCCAGUUUGCACACUCCACCAACACGCUCCAACCUGCUGAAAGUUUGCACUCUCAUAUGAAAGUUUCCAGUCGAGGAUUUGAACCUGAAAGCGAUCCGACCACCACAAAACACCAUCGACAGUUAGUAAUUAGAAUCUGACUAUUUAAAGUAUUUAAUUUCCAUUUGCCAGCGUAUUAUUGUUUAGGUAUGCAUCUAUGGAUAACUUAUCAUCAUUAAUGAGUGGAGGGUGUUUAUGGUUGCCUGAUAGUUGAGAAUCGGAAAUUACUAUAUUAUCCUUCAUGGUUGGCAUGCCAUGGUUUCUU
rnacentral:lncRNA from 1 species